rnacentral:rRNA from 1 species
GACGAGGGGUCCUAGCGUUGUUCGGAAUCACUGGGCGUAAAGCGUUUGUAGGCGGCUCUUUAAGUCGGGUGUGAAAUCCCACGGCUCAACCGUGGAAGUGCAUUCGAAACUGCAGAGCUUGAAUAUGGAAGAGGAGAGUAGAAUUGCUGGUGUAGUGGUGAAAUACGUAGAUAUCAGCAGGAAUACCGGUGGCGAAGGCGGCUCUCUGGUCCAAUAUUGACGCUGAGAAACGAAAGUGCGGGGAUCAAACAGG